UACAAAGGGAAGCGAGGCCGCGAGGCGGNGCAAAACCCAAAAAGUAAAGUCCCAGUUCGGAUUGCAGGCUGCAACCCGCCUGCAUGAAGUUGGAAUCGCUAGUAAUCGCGGAUCAGAAUGCCGCGGUGAAUACGUUCCCGGGUCUUGUACACACCGCCCGUCACACCAUGGGAGUUGGAAAUGCCCGAAGUCGGUGACCUAACCGAAAGGGAGGAGCCGCCGAAGGCAGGUCUGAUAACUGGGGUGAAGUCGUAACAAGGUAGC
rnacentral:rRNA from 1 species